rnacentral:snoRNA from 1 species
GCAUGGCUGAAUACUGUGUUCUCUUUAUCAGUUGUUUACAUAGCCAGAUAUCAUGCAAAAAAAAAAGAAAGAAAGAAAAAAGCAUUCUUCCCUUUAAAGUGGUUACGAUGGCAUGCCAAGUCUUUUCAUAGCAUUUCAUUAUUAAAGGGAAAUACAAAU